rnacentral:rRNA from 1 species
GUAGGUGGCAAGCGUUGUCCGGAAUUAUUGGGCGUAAAGCGCGCGCAGGCGGUCCUUUAAGUCUGAUGUGAAAGCCCACGGCUCAACCGUGGAGGGUCAUUGGAAACUGGGGGACUUGAGUACAGAAGAGGAAAGCGGAAUUCCAAGUGUAGCGGUGAAAUGCGUAGAGAUUUGGAGGAACACCAGUGGCGAAGGCGGCUUUCUGGUCUGUAACUGACGCUGAGGCGCGAAAGUGUGGGGAGCAAACAGGAUUAGAUACCCUGGUAGUCCACGCCGUAAACGAUGAGUGCUAAGUGUUAGGGGGUUUCCCGCCCCCCUUAGUGCUGCAGCUAACGCAUUAAGCACUCCGCCUGGGGAGUACGGCCGCAAGGCUG